UGAUCUUACUUCUUUCUCAGAAUUCCCUGCUCAUUCUAUUUUCCUUAUGUUCUUCUCUUGUUGUAACACUCUUUCUUCUUCUUUUCUUGUCCCUUCUACGAGGACGAUAUUCUGCCGGAAGAAGGUCGAAUUUGGAGUAGCCGAAGGUGAAGAAAUCGCACUCAGGUAACCUUCGAUCUCAAUACUCCCACCGCCUUCUAUUAUUUCUUCUUAUUCUUCAACUUCUUUAGCCUAUAGGAAUUGUGAUGGUUAUGCGAUUAACAUCGUGUUGUUCUUGUUGAGGGUGCGUGUGUGUGAGCAAGGAGCAGUGAGAGUUCGUGACGAGAGUGAUGUAUGGAUGAUGAGAGAUUCUAAGAGUUAUGGAUUUUAGAGAAAACUGUGAAAGAGAACGAAAUUUGAAAUCGUGAGUAAGGAAUUGUGAAGAAUGAAAAAAAUCUCUCCCUGAUUCAUGAAUAGUAAUGGAUUUACAGGAUUUGAUUUCUGUUAGAAUUUCAAGUGAAACUCAGAUUAAAAUUCAGUUGUAACUCACUUGCUGUUAGAAAUGCAAAAGUUGGUUAGAUUGAAAAGUUGGUUAGAAAAAGAAAACAAAAGUUAGUUGAAUGAGACCUCCCAUUUAAAUGAAAUGAACGUUGAAACUCAGAUUGAAGUGGAAUUCUCAAAUGAAUUGUCAAUAUAACUGCCCUUUAUGUAACUGACUUGAGUGAAAUUCAUUUUUUAUGCUUUAAGGAAAGCGCACGGCUACCGUUUAGUGUGUAAGUUAGUGAACGUUCAAUUAUGCUAAAAAAUUAGCUUGUUAGUUUUGUUAUGUUAUUAGGUAUUGUUGGUUUAGGGAUGAUGAAAAUGUUAGGAAUAAUGAAAAGUUGCUUCGUAUUUGGCAGGUUGAUCCUUGUAUUGGAACUGCUGGAACGCUCGACUAUGUCUAUUGUCAUUGGCUCUGGGUGCAAACCGAUUGAUUCAGUAAGUUAUAACAUAUUCAGUGUUUCCUUCUGGUUUUUCUUUUUCCAUGGAUUCGCACUGCAGGUCAAACUAAGUAAACUUUUUGUGUAAACGUGUAGGCAGAUUGAUUACAUUGGAUGAUCAAAAUUCUGAGCUGGCAUGGUUUUGCCGUGAAUGGGUUACAAGUCAACUAUUAGAAAGAUGGAAUUCUACUAAUGAUAAAAUGCCGACAUGGACCA
rnacentral:lncRNA from 1 species